rnacentral:rRNA from 1 species
UUAAGCGACUAAGCGUACACGGUGGAUGCCCUGGCAGUCAGAGGCGAUGAAGGGCGUGCUAAUCUGCGAUAAGCGCCGGUAAGGUGAUAUGAACCGUUAUAACCGGCGAUACCCGAAUGGGGAAACCCAGUGUGAUUCGUCACACUAUCAUUAACUGAAUCCAUAGGUUAAUGAGGCGAACCGGGGGAACUGAAACAUCUAAGUACCCCGAGGAAAAGAAAUCAACCGAGAUUCCCCCAGUAGCGGCGAGCGAACGGGGAGGAGCCCAGAGCCUGAAUCAGCAUGUGUGUUAGUGGAAGCGUCUGGAAAGGCGCGCGAUACAGGGUGACAGCCCCGUACACAAAAGCGCAUGUGCUGUGAGCUCGAUGAGUAGGGCGGGACACGUGGUAUCCUGUCUGAAUAUGGGGGGACCAUCCUCCAAGGCUAAAUACUCCUGACUGACCGAUAGUGAACCAGUACCGUGAGGGAAAGGCGAAAAGAACCCCGGCGAGGGGAGUGAAAAAGAACCUGAAACCGUGUACGUACAAGCAGUGGGAGCACAGGUUUACCUGUGUGACUGCGUACCUUUUGUAUAAUGGGUCAGCGACUUAUAUUCUGUAGCAAGGUUAACCGAAUAGGGGAGCCGGAGGGAAACCGAGUCUUAAUUGGGCGUUAAGUUGCAGGGUAUAGACCCGAAACCCGGUGAUCUAGCCAUGGGCAGGUUGAAGGUUGGGUAACACUAACUGGAGGACCGAACCGACUAAUGUUGAAAAAUUAGCGGAUGACCUGUGGCUGGGGGUGAAAGGCCAAUCAAACCGGGAGAUAGCUGGUUCUCCCCGAAAGCUAUUUAGGUAGCGCCUCGUGAAUUCAUCUCCGGGGGUAGAGCACUGUUUCGGCUAGGGGGCCAUCCCGGCUUACCAACCCGAUGCAAACUGCGAAUACCGGAGAAUGUUAUCACGGGAGACACACGGCGGGUGCUAACGUCCGUCGUGAAGAGGGAAACAACCCAGACCGCCAGCUAAGGUCCCAAAGUCAUGGUUAAGUGGGAAACGAUGUGGGAAGGCCCAGACAGCCAGGAUGUUGGCUUAGAAGCAGCCAUCAUUUAAAGAAAGCGUAAUAGCUCACUGGUCGAGUCGGCCUGCGCGGAAGAUGUAACGGGGCUAAACCAUGCACCGAAGCUGCGGCAGCGACGCUUAUGCGUUGUUGGGUAGGGGAGCGUUCUGUAAGCCUGUGAAGGUGGCCUGUGAGGGUUGCUGGAGGUAUCAGAAGUGCGAAUGCUGACAUAAGUAACGAUAAAGCGGGUGAAAAGCCCGCUCGCCGGAAGACCAAGGGUUCCUGUCCAACGUUAAUCGGGGCAGGGUGAGUCGACCCCUAAGGCGAGGCCGAAAGGCGUAGUCGAUGGGAAACGGGUUAAUAUUCCCGUACUUGGUGUUACUGCGAAGGGGGGACGGAGAAGGCUAUGUUGGCCGGGCGACGGUUGUCCCGGUUUAAGCGUGUAGGUGUGUGUUCCAGGUAAAUCCGGUUCACUUUAACACUGAGGCGUGAUGACGAGGCACUACGGUGCUGAAGUAACAAAUGCCCUGCUUCCAGGAAAAGCCUCUAAGCAUCAGGUAACAUCAAAUCGUACCCCAAACCGACACAGGUGGUCAGGUAGAGAAUACCAAGGCGCUUGAGAGAACUCGGGUGAAGGAACUAGGCAAAAUGGUGCCGUAACUUCGGGAGAAGGCACGCUGACACGUAGGUGAAGUGAUUUACUCACGGAGCUGAAGUCAGUCGAAGAUACCAGCUGGCUGCAACUGUUUAUUAAAAACACAGCACUGUGCAAACACGAAAGUGGACGUAUACGGUGUGACGCCUGCCCGGUGCCGGAAGGUUAAUUGAUGGGGUCAGCGCAAGCGAAGCUCCUGAUCGAAGCCCCGGUAAACGGCGGCCGUAACUAUAACGGUCCUAAGGUAGCGAAAUUCCUUGUCGGGUAAGUUCCGACCUGCACGAAUGGCGUAAUGAUGGCCAGGCUGUCUCCACCCGAGACUCAGUGAAAUUGAACUCGCUGUGAAGAUGCAGUGUACCCGCGGCAAGACGGAAAGACCCCGUGAACCUUUACUAUAGCUUGACACUGAACAUUGAGCCUUGAUGUGUAGGAUAGGUGGGAGGCUUUGAAGUGUGGACGCCAGUCUGCAUGGAGCCGACCUUGAAAUACCACCCUUUAAUGUUUGAUGUUCUAACGUGGACCCGUUACCCGGGUUGCGGACAGUGUCUGGUGGGUAGUUUGACUGGGGCGGUCUCCUCCUAAAGAGUAACGGAGGAGCACGAAGGUUGGCUAAUCCUGGUCGGACAUCAGGAGGUUAGUGCAAUGGCAUAAGCCAGCUUGACUGCGAGCGUGACGGCGCGAGCAGGUGCGAAAGCAGGUCAUAGUGAUCCGGUGGUUCUGAAUGGAAGGGCCAUCGCUCAACGGAUAAAAGGUACUCCGGGGAUAACAGGCUGAUACCGCCCAAGAGUUCAUAUCGACGGCGGUGUUUGGCACCUCGAUGUCGGCUCAUCACAUCCUGGGGCUGAAGUAGGUCCCAAGGGUAUGGCUGUUCGCCAUUUAAAGUGGUACGCGAGCUGGGUUUAGAACGUCGUGAGACAGUUCGGUCCCUAUCUGCCGUGGGCGCUGGAGAACUGAGGGGGGCUGCUCCUAGUACGAGAGGACCGGAGUGGACGCAUCACUGGUGUUCGGGUUGUCAUGCCAAUGGCACUGCCCGGUAGCUAAAUGCGGAAGAGAUAAGUGCUGAAAGCAUCUAAGCACGAAACUUGCCCCGAGAUGAGUUCUCCCUGAGACUU